rnacentral:rRNA from 1 species
UACGGAAGGCAGCAGUGGGAAAUAUUGCACAAUGGGCGCAAGCCUGAUGCAGCCAUGCCGCGUGUAUGAAGAAGGCCUUCGGGUUGUAAAGUACUUUCAGUCGUGAGGAAGGUGUUAAGGUUAAUAACCUUAGCAAUUGACGUUAGCGACAGAAGAAGCACCGGCUAACUCCGUGCCAGCAGCCGCGGUAAUACGGAGGGUGCGAGCGUUAAUCGGAAUUACUGGGCGUAAAGGGCACGCAGGCGGUUAAUUAAGUUGGAUGUGAAAUCCCCGGGCUUAACCUGGGAAUGGCAUUCAAGACUGGUUAGCUAGAGUCUUGUAGAGGGGGUAGAAUUCCGAUGUGUAGCGGUGAAAUGCGUAGAGAUGUGGAGGAAUACCGGUGGCGAAGGCGGCCCCUGGGACAAAGACUGACGCUCAUGUGCGAAAGCGUGGGGAGCAAACAGGAUUAGAUACC